rnacentral:lncRNA from 10 species
GGUGCGCACUACCAUGCCCAGCUAAUUUUUGUAUUUUCAGUACAGGCGGGGUUUCAUUAUGUUGGCCAGGCUGGUCUCGAACUCCUGACCUCAUGAUCCACCUGCCUUGGCCUCCCAAAGUGCUGGGAUUACAGACGUGAGCCACUGUGCCUGGCCAAGCAAACCAACUAUUUUUUAAAAAAUUUCUGAGACAAUCAUAGAAAUAUAAAAACCCUGACUGGGUAUUUUAAAUAUAUUUGUGGGUAUUAAAGAAUUACUGUUGGCUUGGCACAGGGGCUCACGCCUGUCAUCCUAGCACUUUGGGAGGCCAAGAUGGGAAGAUCACUUGAGCCCAGAAGUUUCAAAACCAGCCUGGGCAACACAGCGAGAUCUCAUCUCUACUAAAAAAUUCAAAGGAAAAAAGAAUUAGCCAAACAUGGUGGUAUGUGCCUGUAGUCCUAGCUACUGGGAGGCUGGGGCAGGAGGAUGGCUUGAGCCCAGGAGUUCGAGGCUGCAGUGAGCUAUGAUCACACCACUGUACUCCAGACUGGGUGACAGACAAGACCCUCUCUCUUAAAAAAUAAAUACAGAAAAAAUUACUGUCAUUUCUUCUUAGGUGUGAUAAUGUUGCAUGGAGUUGUGUUUUUAAAAAAUAGUUUUUUUCAGCUGACCAUGGUGGCUUAUGCCUGUAAUACCAGCACUUUGGGAGCCCAAGGCAGGAGGAUCACUUGAGCCCAGGAGUUUGAGAUCAACUUAGCCAACAUAGUGAGAUCUUAGCUCUAAAAAAAAGUUCAAAAAUUAGACUACACGUGGUGGCUCACAUCUGUAAACCCAGCACUUGGGGAGGUCAAAGUGGGUGGAUCACUUGAGUCCAGGUCAAAGCUGCAGGAGCCACGAUCAUGCUACUGCAUUCUCCACCCUGG